rnacentral:rRNA from 1 species
GACGAACGCUGGCGGCAGGCCUAACACAUGCAAGUCGAGCGCGCCUUCGGGUGAGCGGCGGACGGGUGAGUAACGCGUGGGAAUAUGCCCUUCUCUACGGAAUAGUCCUGGGAAACUGGGGGUAAUACCGUAUACGCCCUUUGGGGGAAAGAUUUAUCGGGGAAGGAUUAGCCCGCGUUGGAUUAGGUAGUUGGUGGGGUAAUGGCCUACCAAGCCGACGAUCCAUAGCUGGUUUGAGAGGAUGAUCAGCCACACUGGGACUGAGACACGGCCCAGACUCCUACGGGAGGCAGCAGUGGGGAAUCUUAGACAAUGGGGGCAACCCUGAUCUAGCCAUGCCGCGUGAGUGAUGAAGGCCUUAGGGUUGUAAAGCUCUUUCAGCUGGGAAGAUAAUGACGGUACCAGCAGAAGAAGCCCCGGCUAACUCCGUG